GGGGGAGGGAGGGGGGUAAAAAUCCGCCAAAAUCCCACCACGUAGUAUGUGAACGGUCCCGUUUUUUAUUAUGUUUUUUUUUGUUUUCCGAAAUCUUGAAUGACACAUAUCUCGAAUAUGAAUUCUGAUUAUCAUAAUAUUUCACAUUUGUGAAGUAUUUUUGUUUCGCAACAUCAUACAAUGUUCGCAUGUUCGCAUCAUUCGUCAUUUCGUCUGCUGUGACGUGGUUUGGUCUGAUCUGGUCUGUUAGUAUGGUUUCUUACAACAACAACUGGGAAGAGUAAUGUAGCAAGAAAGUAAAAAGUGAUAAAAUUGCAGUUUGAAUCUGGUGCAGACAUGGACACAUGAAGAUCCUCAAGUUUAAAUUUAAUAACUAGAAAGAGCUUGUGGGAUACAGGCUAAAGAUGAAAUACAAGAUUGGUGUUGACCAAAGCAAUCAGCAGUAUAUAAUGUGAUUCAAGAGAAUUGAUCGUAACAUGAUGUAUCCAAACCAACCAAAGUUUUAACUAGACAGCUUUAGACAAGUUCGUCUUCAUUGAAAGUCAAAUCAAGCUUCCACAAAUUGCAGCUCAUGGACAUUGUGUUGACUCCACCCAAGUUGUAAAAUCAGAAAAAGAAUUUCUCAUUCUCAUGUAGUGGCAAUAGUCGAAGAAAAGUUGUCCAAAGAUCUAAAUGACACAGAACUUUACACUUGUAAUUUCAAGCAACUGUUGGACUUCGGUAACCAAGUAUGAAAAGGAUUUCAAUAGAUUUGAAUAAAGAAAAUUCAAAACGUUUGAGAAAAAGCUGUUACACGAAAAAUCCAAUGGGUCAUUAAUGGAGUAGAGAUCUCAUUCAUUGGUGCCUACCGUGACUUAUUGGUCUAGCUCUACGACGGUAGAAGAAAAAUGCUGCUGAUGUGGGACGUUGAUAAUGUUGCACUCAUCCCCUGACGGCGGAAGAACAAGAGAUCCAGGUCCUCUAUUUAUUGGCAUCACGCAUCACCCGAUUGAUUUCACGUCACACGAGUCGACACUAAUUGCUGGAUUAGAUUGACGACUCGUUUUUUAUCAAAAAAUGGACGACAACGCAAACGGACCUCAGCCUUCCAUUAAUCCCUGCUGAAAGAUGAAACUUUCUUCUGGACCUACGUUAGAAGAAUAUUUGCAGAUCGAUUGCCCCUACCAUGUUAUAGGAUACCAUGGCCCUUCACUAGAACUCGCCCGAAAAAAAACUGGCCGACUUUGACGAGUCUUUCGCGAAAAUCGAUAGUUUGGCAGCCAUCUUCGCUUCCGCCCGAAUUACAAGAAGUCAUCCAGUUCGAUUUUCUUGAACUACAGGAGAAAAACUGAAGGUUGUCCGAUCCACUUAUCAUAAGCAAAGUGCGAAAUUAUUCACACUCACAUUUCCUAAUCUGAAAUUAGAAACAGAACAAAGCAUUAAUCAGUGCAAAUCAUUCAAAAUGGUGUCCGUCUGGCAUUGGUUCCUGUGAUGAUGAUGACAAUUACCAUUCUCGGCUUUUUGAUAACAAAACAUUGGGCUAAUGAUUCAUCUUGCACUCUUGACUAAAUGUUUUCAGAUAACUGCAGCUGAAGUUUGUGUGCCCUGAGUGCUCUGGACAAAAACGAUGGAUGGCUCAGUCCAAUAAUGCUAGCUGUGUAUUUCUUAACCAUGGAAUUUCUAUUUGCAAGACCCCGGGUGGCACUUCGUGAGUGGGACUAAAUUCCGCCAUUUGUUUCUCAGACACUGAGUGAAAAUGUAUUCCAAAUGCAUUACGGAUUUACGGGCGUCGUUCUUCAUUUUCAGUCAAGAGAUUAUAAAGGGAGGAGAUCCCUUUGCUUUACUAUCGAAGAAUUUGAGAACACGCAAAAUCUGAACUUCAUUGCUGUCUUUCGUGCUAAUGGUUUUGUUGCAACCAACUGGUGAAAGGUGUGAUCAAGUUGAGCUGCAGCUGCUGCAUCUUGUUAUCUACCUACAUUCAUAGUGUCAUAGUCAUCUACCUAUCAGUCUAUAGUGUUAUCCUGAAGUGUGGAAGCAUAACCCAACUGCAAUUGGACAAAGACUUAUUGUAAUGAGUCUGUCGCAAGGUGUUUUGCAACUGUAUGAUGCUGUUCAAUAUGCAGUGGUUUUUGCAGCCAUUUCCAGUUCAAGCUGUUGCAUGCUGUCUGUUGUGCUGGUGUUAUCCUGAAAAUGUGUUGUUUGUCAAUAUCUAUGUGUGUAAUGCCUGUGGGACGUAUCGAGAUGAUUGGACGCGACUGAAGAAGUUCGUGAUGUAGAGUAGACAAGUGCAUAAUCUGGGCUCCCUUCUUUUCUGUGGCCCCGUUUCCCUAACUAACCACUAACCAACGCCCGCCGGUGGUCACUCACCCGCUGUGAAACCAGGAG